rnacentral:rRNA from 1 species
AGUCUGGAGUGAAAGGCGACGGCUCAACCGUCGACGCGCUUCGGAAACUGGGGGACUUGAGGGCAGGAGAGGCGAGCGGAAUUCCCGGUGUAGCGGUGAAAUGCGUAGAGAUCGGGAAGAACACCAGUGGCGAAGGCGGCUCGCUGGACUGGCCCUGACGCUGACGCGCGAAAGCGUGGGGAGCGAACGGGAUUAGAUACCCCGGUAGUCCACGCCGUAAACGAUGGGCACUAGGUGUGGGAGGUAUCGACCCCUCCCGUGCCGGAGUUAACACACUAAGUGCCCCGCCUGGGGAGUACGGCCGCAAGGUUGAAACUCAAAGGAAUUGACGGGGGCCCGCACAAGCAGUGGAGCAUGUGGUUUAAUUCGACGCAACGCGAAGAACCUUACCCGGGCUUGACAUCCCCGGAACACCCGAGAGAUCGGGUGGCUCUACGGAGCCGGGAGACAGGUGCUGCAUGGUUGUCGUCAGCUCGUGUCGUGAGAUGUUGGGUUAAGUCCCGCAACGAGCGCAACCCUUGUCCCGUGUUACCAGCGUAAAGGCGGGGACUCACGGGAGACUGCCGGUGACAAACCGGAGGAAGGUGGGGAUGACGUCAAAUCAUCAUGGCCCUUAUGUCCGGGGCUACACACGUGCUACAAUGGCCGGCACAGCGGGAUGCGAAGGGGCGACCCGGAGCGAAUCCCUGAAAGCCGGUCCCAGUUCGGAUCGCAGGCUGAAACCCGCCUGCGUGAAGCCGGAA